AUCCAGAUGACGAGUCCCAAAAAUAGGACGAAAUGUGCAUCUUGACUGUAU
rnacentral:hammerhead_ribozyme from 1 species